UACGUAGGGUGCAAGCGUUGUCCGGAAUUAUUGGGCGUAAAGAGCUCGUAGGCGGUUCGUCACGUCGGCUGUGAAAAUCCCGAGGCUCAACCUCGGGUCUGCAGUCGAUACGGGCGGACUGGAGUACUGCAGGGGAGACUGGAAUUCCUGGUGUAGCGGUGAAAUGCGCAGAUAUCAGGAAGAACACCCGUGGCGAAGGCGGCUCUCUGGGACGGUACUGACGCUGAGACGCGAAAGCGUGGGGAGCGAACAGG
rnacentral:rRNA from 1 species